rnacentral:rRNA from 1 species
UACAGAGGGGGCGAGCGUUAUUCGGAAUUACUGGGCGUAAAGGGCUCGUAGGCGGCCAACUAAGUCAGACGUGAAAUCCCUCGGCUUAACCGGGGAACUGCGUCUGAUACUGGAUGGCUAGAGGUUGGGAGAGGGAUGCGGAAUUCCAGGUGUAGCGGUGAAAUGCGUAGAUAUCUGGAGGAACACCGGUGGCGAAGGCGGCAUCCUGGACCAAUUCUGACGCUGAGGAGCGAAAGCCAGGGGAGCAAACGGG